UACGGGGGGGGGCAAGCGUUGUUCGGAAUUACUGGGCGUAAAGGGCGCGUAGGCGGCCUUCUAAGUCGAACGUGAAAUCCCCGGGCUCAACCCGGGAACUGCGUCCGAUACUGGAAGGCUUGAAUCCGGGAGAGGGAUGUGGAAUUCCAGGUGUAGCGGUGAAAUGCGUAGAUAUCUGGAGGAACACCGGUGGCGAAGGCGACAUCCUGGACCGGUAGUUGACGCUGAGGCGCGAAAGCCAGGGGAGCAAAGCGGGG
rnacentral:rRNA from 1 species